rnacentral:rRNA from 1 species
GACGUAGGGCGCGAGCGUUGUCCGGAUUUAUUGGGCGUAAAGAGCUCGUAGGCGGCUUGUCGCGUCGAAUGUGAAAUCUCAGGGCUCAACUCUGACAUUGCAUUCGAUACGGGCAGGCUAGAGUUCGGUAGGGGAGACUGGAAUUCCUGGUGUAGCGGUGAGAUGCGCAGAUAUCAGGAGGAACACCGGUGGCGAAGGCGGGUCUCUGGGCCGAUACUGACGCUGAGGAGCGAAAGCGUGGGGAGCGAACAGG